GGCCGUCUGGCGGAACUGGCAGACGCAGUGGACUCAAAAUCCACCGGGGUAAAACCCGUCCCGGUUCGAUUCCGGGGACGGCCA
rfam:Deltaproteobacteria bacterium 13_1_40CM_3_69_14 13_1_40cm_3_scaffold_13582, whole genome shotgun sequence.